CAAUAGUCCUGGGGAGUCUGGAUUGGUGCCUGUCCUGUCCACAUGAGGAAGGAUGAGGCACAGAGACAUAGAACCUCUUACUGCGAUGCUGGGUGGUAACCAAAUCAGAAAACCAGGACCCCUGACCCUGAGUGCAUCUCUGAGCAGAGGUUCAAGAGCUGGGAAGCACCGAAUUACAAUGACACUAGAGAUGAAAAGCAGCCAACAAAAGAACCACUCACUGAAUCCACCACUAACCCAUGAAAUCACAAGAGGCUACCUUAUAUUGUUGGUCACACAGCUGAGAAGGAAGGGAAGAAAUCAAGUUCUCGGUGACAUCUGAGUCAUGCUCGGGACUUUGCCAUUCUUCCCAUUCCCAAAGUACAAGUUUCUCCAUGUGUGUCUAUCUCUGUGUUUGUAUCUCCCUCUGUCUCUCUGUCUCUCUUUCCCUUCCUCCUUCCUUCUCUCCCUCACUCUUUCUCCUUCCUUUCUCCCCUCCUUCUCCCUUCUCCCCCUCUGGUUCCCAAAUUCAAUUCUUCUUUUAGUGCUUUUUAAAAGCUGCUAAGCUCCUUGGAGUUCGAGCUGCUUUCCCUUCGCUUCAGUCAGCAUAUGGAUCUAAAGAGCUUUCGGGUUCGACCGCCACCUCACCCUGACCCAAGCUUACUUCCUGAAAAUAACCUUUGUCCGUGUGGAUUUCCACAUUGUCUUCUGAAGAAGGCAUGGUCUGUCAACAAUAAGACUGUCAACUCCUUUGCUGCCAGAAUAAAUGUGUCCUGGACUGGAUCCAGGAUUUCUGGGGCAUCCCAGGACACGCCAGUAGCUGAUACUGAGAGGAGAUGGGUGUAGCAAAACUUUGCCACUGUCUCUGAUG
rnacentral:lncRNA from 1 species